UACGGGGGGGGCAAGCGUUGUUCGGAAUUAUUGGGCGUAAAGAGCUCGUAGGCGGUGUGUCGCGUCGGCCGUGAAAACCUGCAGCUUAACUGUGGGCGUGCGGUCGAUACGGGCAGACUAGAGGUAGGCAGGGGAGAGCGGAACUCCUGGUGUAGCGGUGGAAUGCGCAGAUAUCAGGAAGAACACCGGUGGCGAAGGCGGCUCUCUGGGCCUUACCUGACGCUGAGGAGCGAAAGCGUGGGUAGCGAACAGG
rnacentral:rRNA from 1 species